CGAAAGCGUGGGGAGCGAACAGGAUUAGAUACCCUGGUAGUCCACGCCGUAAACGGUGGAUGCUGGAUGUGGGGACCAUUCCACGGUCUCCGUGUCGGAGCCAACGCGUUAAGCAUCCCGCCUGGGGAGUACGGCCGCAAGGCUAAAACUCAAAGAAAUUGACGGGGGCCCGCACAAGCGGCGGAGCAUGCGGAUUAAUUCGAUGCAACGCGAAGAACCUUACCUGGGCUUGACAUGUUCCCGACAGCCGCAGAGAUGUGGUUUCCCUUCGGGGCGGGUUCACAGGUGGUGCAUGGUCGUCGUCAGCUCGUGUCGUGAGAUGUUGGGUUAAGUCCCGCAACGAGCGCAACCCUCGCCCUGUGUUGCCAGCACGUCGUGGUGGGAACUCACGGGGGACCGCCGGGGUCAACUCGGAGGAAGGUGGGGAUGACGUCAGAUCAUCAUGCCCCUUACGUCCAGGGCUUCACGCAUGCUACAAUGGCCGGUACAACGGGAUGCGACCUCGUGAGGGGGAGCGGAUCCCUUAAAACCGGUCUCAGUUCGGAUUGGAGUCUGCAACCCGACUCCAUGAAGGCGGAGUCGCUAGUAAUCGCGGAUCAGCAACGCCGCGGUGAAUGCGUUCCCGGGCCUUGUACACACCGCCCGUCAAGUCAUGAAAGUGGGUAGCACCCGAAGCCGGUGGCCCAACCUUUUGGGGGGAGCCGUCUAAGGUGAGACUCGUGAUUGGGACUAAGUCGUAACAAGGUAGCCGUACCGGAAGGUGCGGCUG
rnacentral:rRNA from 1 species